rnacentral:piRNA from 1 species
UCAGUGAGGUGAUGAUGCCAAGGAUCGAGC